UACGUAGGGUGCAAGCGUUAAUCGGAAUUACUAGGGCGUGAACGUGCGCUAGGCGGUUUUGUAAGUCUGUCGUGAAAUCCCGGGCUCAACCUGGGAAUUGCGAUGGAGACUGCAAGGCUGAGAAUCUGGCAGAGGGGGGUAGAAUUCCAACGUGUAGCAGUGAAAUGCGUAGAGAUGUGGAGGAACACCGGAUGGCGAAGGCAGCCCCCUGGGGAU
rnacentral:rRNA from 1 species